CCGAAAUCCAUACAUAUUUUGAUAUAUACUAAAUGGAAAUCUGAUUUUACAAAUUUAUUAAUGUAGUAAUGAAUGUCGUGAAUCACGAGAAACAUAUUAAAAAGAAAAUUAAUGUGGUUUUUUUUACACUACAAUCCAUACUUUUACCCCAAAUAAAACAUGUCGUUUGAUAUAAAGGUCUGAGAAACGGAUGGCGAACCUAACGACACAACUGAAAGUUACAUCUAGAUGUCCAUAUAGUAUUCUACAAUAGAACGGCGUCUUUACAAUCUACCGCCAACAAAAAUACAUGAAGAAAUUGAAGAAAAAAAUCUACCUUUGAAUUAUUUUCACUAACACCAAGAAGAAAAUAUCAAAACACACACAC
rnacentral:lncRNA from 1 species